AGAGUUUGAUCAUGGCUCAGAUUGAACGCUGGCGGAAUGCUUUACACAUGCAAGUCGAACGGUAGAGGGGGCAACCCCUUGAGAGUGGCGAACGGGUGAGUAAUAUAUCGGAACGUGCCCAGUCGUGGGGGAUGACGUAGCGAAAGUUACGCUAAUACCGCAUACGAUCUAAGGAUGAAAGCGGGGGAUCGCAAGACCUCGCGCGAUUGGAGCGGCCGAUAUCAGAUUAGGUAGUUGGUGGGGUAAAGGCUCACCAAGCCAACGAUCUGUAGCUGGUCUGAGAGGACGACCAGCCACACUGGAACUGAGACACGGUCCAGACUCCUACGGGAGGCAGCAGUGGGGAAUUUUGGACAAUGGACGCAAGUCUGAUCCAGCCAUUCCGCGUGCAGGAUGAAGGCCCUCGGGUUGUAAACUGCUUUUGUACGGAACGAAAAGGUUUGUCUUAAUACGAUGAGCUCAUAACGGUACCGUAAGAAUAAGCACCGGCUAACUACGUGCCAGCAGCCGCGGUAAUACGUAGGGUGCAAGCGUUAAUCGGAAUUACUGGGCGUAAAGCGUGCGCAGGCGGUUAUGUAAGACAGAGGUGAAAUCCCCGGGCUCAACCUGGGAACUGCCUUUGUGACUGCAUAGCUAGAGUACGGUAGAGGGGGAUGGAAUUCCGCGUGUAGCAGUGAAAUGCGUAGAUAUGCGGAGGAACACCGAUGGCGAAGGCAAUCCCCUGGACCUGUACUGACGCUCAUGCACGAAAGCGUGGGGAGCAAACAGGAUUAGAUACCCUGGUAGUCCACGCCCUAAACGAUGUCAACUGGUUGUUGGGUCUUCACUGACUCAGUAACGAAGCUAACGCGUGAAGUUGACCGCCUGGGG
rnacentral:rRNA from 1 species